GACGAACGCUGGCGGCGUGCUUAACACAUGCAAGUCGAGCGGUAAGGCCCUUUCGGGGGUACACGAGCGGCGAACGGGUGAGUAACACGUGGGUGACCUGCCCUUAGCUCUGGGAUAAGCCUGGGAAACUGGGUCUAAUACCGGAUAUGACUCCAUGGCGCAUGUUGUGGGGUGGAAAGCCUUGUGCGGCUAGGGAUGGGCCCGCGGCCUAUCAGCUUGUUGGUGGGGUGAUGGCCACCAAGGCGACGACGGGUAGCCGGCCUGAGAGGGCGACCGGCCACACUGGGACUGAGACACGGCCCAGACUCCUACGGGAGGCAGCAGUGGGGAAUCUUGCGCAAUGGGCGAAAGCCUGACGCAGCGACGCCGCGUGAGGGAUGACGGCCU
rnacentral:rRNA from 1 species